GGGGCCGAGAGCUAGGCGGGCCCGGAGCGCGGCGCGGGGAAUGCGCGGCCGCCAGGUCGCGCGAAGGGCCGCUGUGCAGGGCCGGGCGCUCGGCGGUGCGGUGUCUCGCCGACAAGUGAGGAGGCGAAGUGUGGUCGUCGUCGGGCGCUAAGGGCUUGUUGAGAAAGUCACCAGUCACAGGUGUGUACAUGUGACACCGGCACCUUGAACUCUCUGGAGCGCUGGAAACUCCUGCAGCUCUGUCCACUGAAGAGGCCCAGAAGCAAUGUUACCCAGAGGUAAUGAACGUACCAGUGCCAAGACCUUGGUUUCAAAGUACUGUUCAUCACUGAAAGGAAGGACUGUUCCCUGGAAAAAUGGCUGAUUCCAGAUCAGAAACAGAGAAUGUACAAGGUGAGCCUGGAACAGCUUAUGUCAGAAAGCAAAGAAAGUGUGCAGAGAAUGAACCAGCUUACAAUAAUGGUAUUACAGGUAGACAACCACAUAAAAACCCACCACAGGAAGUGAAUUGAAAACAAGUAAACCAAAGAAGAAAGCAAACUGAAACAAUUCAUGCAUAUGGACAAGAACCUUCGCUUUUUAAUCCUUUUUUCUCAUGUAAUAGUUAGCACAAGGCUUUUUAUAUGACAGGGGCUUGUCAUAGUUUAAGGUCCAGCCCAGUUACUGAGGGUUACUGACUGACUCAGAAGUAGGGCAAUGUGGGGAUAAAGUUCCCUGAACAUGCAACAAGACAGAAAAGCACUUGAUAAUUAGGGCUAGAAUUCCUAAUUAGGAAUAGAGCUCCCAGUGAUAGAUGCUACAUCCCAAAGUGUGGGCCGACAGUGGGAAUGGUAAAUACCUGAUGUCAUUCUGCCCCUUCCUUUUCAACACCCACUGUAGAAAUCUUUUUUUUUUUUUUUUUUUUUGGCCACAUCAGGCGGCUUGUGGGAUCUUAGAUCCCCCGACCAGGGAUUGAACCGGGGCCCUUGGCAGUGAAAGCAUGGAGUCCUAACCACUGGACUGCCAGGGAAUUCCUAGACAUCAAUUUUUCAUCACCAUAUUUUUCCCUAUUGGGUUGGAAUGGGUUGGAACUUUGUCUCAACCCAGUGCUCAAAGUCACCACCAACAGUCAAUUGAAAAUACAUUUCACAGGAAUAAGAACUACAGUUUUAAAAUUCUUGUUUCAAAUGAAGGCUAGAAUUGCAAGCAGAGGAAGGGCUGUAUCCCCACAACUUUGAGAGGAAGCUUGCCAGGCUGGCAUCCAGGCAGGGAUGAAAAAUGCUCAACAGCCAUUAAAUUAGAAAGUGAACUAAAGUAUGGAGGAACAGCAAAAAAUAAUUUCCUUCUACAUUGUAGUGUGUAGCUUAUAUGACAAGCAUACAGGUUGCAAACUAAGCAAGAACAAGAGGGCUGCCCCGCUUCAUAGUGGCAAGUUGCUGAUGGAGAUAUCAUAAAGCAAGUCUGAACCAGAUGGCUACAAAGGUGUUAUUUCAGGGUUUUCAUGGGGCUGCUGGGAUCUGCUAACCUGUGGUGUUUGAAAUAAAUUCAAGAGAAUUCUU